rnacentral:rRNA from 1 species
AAUCAACGCUGGCGGCGUGCCUAACACAUGCAAGUCGAACGCGAAAGCCCCGCAAGGGGCAAGUAGAGUGGCAAACGGGUGAGUAACACGUGGGUGACCUGCCUUCGAGUGGGGGAUAACGUCCCGAAAGGGACGCUAAUACCGCAUAACAUCCUGCUUUUGGACAAGCGGUGAUCAAAGCUGGGGAUCGUAAGACCUAGCGCUGGAAGAGGGGCCCGCGCCUGAUUAGCUAGUUGGUAGGGUAACGGCCUACCAAGGCGACGAUCAGUAUCCGGCCUGAGAGGGCGGACGGACACACUGGGACUGAGACACGGCCCAGACUCCUACGGGAGGCAGCAGUGGGGAAUUGUUCGCAAUGGGCGCAAGCCUGACGACGCAACGCCGCGUGGAGGACGAAGAUCUUCGGGUCGUAAACUCCUGUCGAGCGGGACGAACACCCACCGGGUGAACAAUCCGGAGGGCUGACGGUACCGCUAAAGGAAGCCCCGGCUAACUCCGUGC